GACGUUAUCACUGGGAGGGUUGUGUAGGUUUCUAGGGUUCAGUUAGUAUCUCCACCUCAUGGUCCAGUUUAGGGGUUCAGCUGCUGAUUGAUUUCAUGUCUUUAUUUUCCUUCAUUCUUUUAUGGACAGUGACUUUCCAUGGAUCACCGCGGACAACACACGGUCCGGACAGCGGAGGUGCGAAUAACAUUAUAUGGCCUGGCGUCGGCAUGCCAAAAAGCAAGAAAUGGAUCUAAAGGAACUAAAGAUGUUUGAGGAAGCUUUUUUAAAGAUGGUUGCAGUGAAGAAGCCAGGCUAGUGCUGCCGCUUGCGGGACACCUUGCCAUUGUGGCAGGACAU